UUACGGCAAUAUCACGUUUAAAUAUCGGUUCUCGUACGAUCAUCCAUUUUAAGCAACAUCGAGCCUGGUUAGUACCUAUAUGGGUGACCGCUUGAGAAUACUAGGUGCUGUAA